rnacentral:rRNA from 1 species
CCCUUAGAUGUUCUGGGCCGCACGCGCGCUACACUGACGGAGGCAGCAAGCAUGUCCUUCGCCGAGAGGUGUGGGGAAUCUUGUGAGUCUCCGUCGUGCUGGGGAUAGAUGGUUGCAAUUGUCGAUCUUGAACGAGGAAUUCCUAGUAAGCGCGAGUCAUCAGCUCGCGCUGAUUACGUCCCUGCCCUUUGUACACACCGCCCGUCGCUACUACCGAUUGGAUGGUUUAGCGAGAACUUUGGACCGGAGCUCGGGUGGUCAGCAAUGGCCGCCCGAGACAUACUGGGAAAUCGCUCCAGCUUGAUCAUCUAGAGGAAGUAAAAGUCGUAACA